rnacentral:rRNA from 1 species
UGAGAUGUUGGGUUAAGUCCCGCAACGAGCGCAACCCUUAAGCUUAGUUGCCAUCAUUAAGUUGGGCACUCUAAGUUGACUGCCGGUGACAAACCGGAGGAAGGUGGGGAUGACGUCAAAUCAUCAUGCCCCUUAUGAUUUGGGCUACACACGUGCUACAAUGGACAAUACAAAGGGCAGCGAAACYGCGAGGUCAAGCAAAUCCCAUAAAGUUGUUCUCAGUUCGGAUUGUAGUCUGCAACUCGACUACAUGAAGCUGGAAUCGCUAGUAAUCGUAGAUCAGCAUGCUACGGUGAAUACGUUCCCGGGUCUUGUACACACCGCCCGUCACACCACGAGAGUUUGUAACACCCGAAGCCGGUGGAGUAACCAUUUGGAGCUAGCCGUCGAAGGUGGGACAAAUGAUUGGGGUGAAGUCGUAACAAGGUAGCCGUAUCGGAAGGUGCGGCUGGAUCACCUCCUUUCUAAGGA